GACGAACGCUGGCGGCGUGCUUAACACAUGCAAGUCGAACGGAAAGGCCCUGCUUUUGUGGGGUGCUCGAGUGGCGAACGGGUGAGUAACACGUGAGUAACCUGCCCUUGUCUUUGGGAUAACUUCAGGAAACUGGGGCUAAUACCGGAUAGGAGCUCCUGCUGCAUGGGGGGGGUUGGAAAGUUUCGGCGGUUGGGGAUGGACUCGCGGCUUAUCAGCUUGUUGGUGGGGUAGUGGCUUACCAAGGCUUUGACGGGUAGCCGGCCUGAGAGGGUGACCGGCCACAUUGGGACUGAGAUACGGCCCAGACUCCUACGGGAGGCAGCAGUGGGGAAUAUUGCACAAUGGGCGGAAGCCUGAUGCAGCAACGCCGCGUGCGGGAUGACGGCCUUCGGGUUGAAAACCGCUUUCGCCUGUGACGAAGCGUGAGUGACGGUAAUGGGUAAAGAAGCACCGGCUAACUACGUG
rnacentral:rRNA from 1 species